UUAAAGGCCUGUGCCCCCACACAUGGCUAGACUUUUUAGAUUGUAGAAAGACCACAGGGCCUGGGUCAGUUCUACAUGGAUGACCAGGGUCACAUAUUUAACUUUCUUGACUUUUAUUUUUUCAUUUGUAGGACUGUUUGCCUCUAUAUUCCACUCCUGCCUGAAAGGGGGAAAUGCAUGUUUUCUGUGACUCUCUCACUCUUCCUAUCAAGGGCUGGGGGCUCUUCCACAGCGCUCUGGCCUCUGGGCAGGCCCAGUGCUUAUUUAGACGAACAGAAUAUGGCAGAUGUAAAACUGGAGACUUCUAAGGCCAGGCCUCAAAAAAGAUCUCGCAACUUCUGUCUUCUCCCUUUUGUGCCAUGGGAACCUCAGUGUAAACAAAUAAAUAAAUGAACAAACAAACAAACAACUUCAGCUGAUGUCUUUUGAGAAGGAGAGUGCAUAUGGAGAGAACCAUGUGAAAGCCAUCACCAACUGCCAGAGGAGAUUCAUACUAAUUGGAUUGAACACUGAGCCAACCUUUAUCAACUGUAACCAUUUUAUAACUGUAACCAUUUUGUUCCAUGCCUGUCAGUCAUCAACACAGAAAAACAGAUUCACUCAGAGCAGGGUCAAACUGCCCACACACCCUGUUAUGUACUGAGGCUUCUUUUUCUUCUUCUUGGAAACUCCCCAACCAUAGUCUUCAUCCACAGCCAAGCAAGAUAGAGGUCAGCUUGAACUGUUCUAUCUAAACUAUGGAAGAAACUUGGAAAAAGGCGUCCCACCCUCAGCACAUCCCCCCGCCCCCGCCUCUGUAUCUUAUGAGCUCAUUAUGGCUUUUUCCUUACAUAAACUAACCCUGGACAGCGUUUGUAGUCAUGACUUUCAGUUCCCGAGUCUAAGCUACUGCCCUGGUUGAACAAUCUUGGGGUGUGAGUUCAAUACUCAGCCCUGUUUAACUGAGACCCAGAGUCUGAGUGGGUGUGUGGUGACUCCUGGACCCCAACAAUUCAAUCUCUGUGCUUACGUUUUUCCAUCUAUAAAAUGAGGAUGAGAUAGAUGAUGUUUCCUGAGGUUCUGUGAGAACGAAGUAAGUUGGUGUAUACAGAUCUAUGCUGGGCAUAGGAAGUGCCUACAGCAUAGGAGGAUGGGGGUGAAUAGCUGGUGUCUUUGCCCUCUAUCCUAUUUAUUGAGAAAGGGUUUCUCGUUGAAUCUUGAUCUCACUUAUUCAGCUAGUCUGACUGGCCAGUGAACUCCGGGGAGCCUCCUGUCUCUACUUCCUCAAUGCUGGGUUUAUAGAGGUAAGUGGCCAUACCUGACUUUUUACCCAGGUACUGGGGAUCUCACCCUAUUUUCUGCUUUGACAGCAAACAUUUCAUCAACUGAGCCAUCGCAUGGGUGGGAUGGGUCCAUGAAUGACAAGGAGAAAGGGGCGGGGGGGGGGGGAGAUCAGUAUCCAUCUCUCUCUGCUCGGUGACUGUGGAUGCAAUGAGACCAGCUGCGUCACUCACACUCCUGCUGUCAUGAUGCCCUCCCUUCCCCCUUCAACAGACCACAUCAUCCAGCAGUGAGCCAAGAUAAACCUAUCCUUCCUUAAGGUGCUUUUGGCAAGGACUUUGUCAGGGCAACAAGGAAAAGUUCCUCAUGUGGCUAUUUCAGACCACUCCUCCGGUCAAAUCUUUCCAUAGUUUCUUACCCUGCCAACCAUACAGACUUGAACCCUGUAGUCUUUGAAGCUGUAUGUUACUGGCCCUCUGCCAAUUUGAACACUCUUAGUCAUAAAGUCUUCCUUUCUUCUUUGCAUUUGGUCUCUUUUCUUUCCUCUAGGGAGCUAAGCUAGCUCCCAUUGGGCACUACACUAGCUGUCUACGCCCUCCCCCACCCCACUUUGUUGCACAGGCAUUCAUUUACGACUUUGGUAAAACUUCACAACCUUGUAGAGCCCUUCCUUAGCUUCCCUUCCUUAGCUUUUUAAAACUAACCAUUCCAUCUCCUACUGCAGUCACUGUCUCUCAAGUUUCUUGAUGUGUGGUGUGUGUGUGUGUGUGUGUGUGUGUGUGUGUGUGUGUGUAUGUGUUUAAACUGCAUCAAUCUUCAUUUAUUUGCUUCAUUUAGUGUCUUCUUCUGUCCUCACAAAAUGCAGCCCAUGAGAUCCAGGCCUUUUUUUGUUUUGUUUUCUGGAUGAUGCCUGACACAGGCAGACUCAGUAAGCUCUUGGUAAGUGGAGGACAAAGGAGGGGACAUGAAUGUGGGAACAGCUCUGUUCUCUGAAGCUGAUCCUCAUGUGUGAAAUGUUGAACCCGAGACUGCAUGGCCAGUUUCCUUGCUGUGACUCUAUGCAAACAUUUACAAAGGUCUGGGAGGGCAACCUUCAUGAGAGAAUGUGCUGAAUUAGUCCACAUUUAGCUCUAUCUGAGAUCUCAACCCCGUAUCUUCUUUGGGCCUCUGUAUUCUAGACAAAUCUUCACACCAUUCUCUGGUAUCCACUGUUCUUUCAUUUUCUUGUCCUUUCUCUUUGGGGUUUCUCUCUGGAUCAAACACACAAUUUAAAUGAAACAACUAAAAGACAGCACUGUUUCCCACGGACAAGGGCCUGAGGGUAGACGAAGGCACAAUUUUGUGUUAUUUCUUCAUAAUGCAACUCAAUACCCUGAGAACUUAUACACAGUAACAUCACCUUGCUACCCCAAAAGGAGCUGAAAUAUUAAGCUUAUGGUAAGUGACAACUGCCACGUUGGGUCCACAUAGACACUCAUGUCACCAUGGGAGUCCAGGGAGGGAGGUGCUAUAACACAGCCAGUCCUUUAUAGCCAUGGUGCCCUUAUCCUUGACUUCAACCAACGGGAGGUAAGGAUGUAAGAACAAUGCUGCUGGGCUUCCCCUGUGCAGGUGUCAUUUGGCCUUUAGUCCCUGAGCAAGGUAGCACAGUGGGUAUUUACAUGUCAUUUUUGUUGUAUAUUUGCAUAUCAUUUGCAUUUUGUAUUUACAUACCAUUUGCAUUGUAUUAGUUAUUCUCAGUAAUCUAAAGAUAACUGGAGGGAUUUUUGCAGGAUAUAUACAAAUAGCAUGGCAUUCUACAUAUGGGACUUUAGUGUCUCUGAUUUUGGUAUAUAAGUGUGUGUGGGGGUAUCCUGAAGCUAACCCCCUGGAUAACCACAGAUCCCGAUGCUAGAGGGAAAUAAAACUGAAAGAUAAGCCACUCAAGGUUGUAAAAGGAUGAGUGAAGUAAGUAACCCUUUGACUAACUUCAAACCUCUUUUGUUAAGUGGGUAGAUGAUGUCCAGUUUGCUAUAGAAACCCUGGAGCCUGAGCUACUCGAUGCUUGCCCAGAAUUAAACCACUCUGCAGAGUCUCUAAACCUUUUUCGUGUUGACUGACUCUCCUCAUAGACUGUCAGUUCCCCAAGCCAAAGGCAAGAUCUCUCGCACAGCCUGCAGGCAGUGAAUGAGUGUUAUUGACUAAUCAGCAGAGGAAUACAAGGGAACUAGGAACUAAAGUUGUUAGCUGUCGUCCCUCUUACUUCCCUUUAUACGGUUGCUCUGACGCCUCCACUAAGACUCACAAGCUGAGUGUUGGGAUUCUAGGGAUGCACAUAAAGGACUCAGGCAGAGUGCAUGAUCUCAACCCCUUGGAUUCCUUUAUUAUUUGUUAUCUGUGGCUGUUCUCCAAAGACAACUACAUCUUAAAUUCUGACCACAUCCCCUGUACUGGUACGUAUACAGUUAGGUAACAGGCUAUAACCACCUGUGCACAUCCACAGCAUCCCGCCUUCCUUUACAGCAACAAGAAGGAAAGCCAUGUUCCCUCGCUCCCAUAUAUAAUGCAAUGCUUAUUCUUAGACACAUCCUGCCAGAAAAAGAAGACAGAGCGAGGCGGUUUCACAAGCCAGCAAAAAGCCCGCCUUCUCCUAGACUCAUUCUGGGUCUAGGCAGAGUUCACCUCUCAUCUUGUGAUAAAGACGCAUGGUUACCAUAUUCAAACCACUUUGGCUCUGUACUGUGUGAAUCCUAAAGGUGUUAGGACACUGUCUGUAGCCUGCCUGGCAUUAGCUUCACUUUUAGCAUCUCAUAUGAGAUGUGUGAUGUCUCCUUUUCCCAAGCUGCCCUCAGACACAGAUCAAGCACGCAAGCCAGGAGGAAGAUGUCCCACUGAGCAUCUCCUCUAGGACUGUGAAGAAAGCAGCCUGUGUCACUGCCAUGAAGAGAUGGCUCUCUGGGUUCCUAUGAGGGACAAUGCAAGUCAUGCAAUCACAGUCCAUGGCAGGAGUCACUGGCAGAGAGCUUUGGGGGGCCAUUAGAGCUCAUGGGUUGGGAGUAGUGUGCAGGGCAUUUUCAGGAAGAGCUCAGGCUCUGAAGGAAGCUUUACUAAAAUGAUUGCUGUCUUUUUUCGCGUGCUCUCUAGAAGCAGCCUCACAGAGAUCUGUGUUGUGGUUACACAGAUUUUUUUUUUAAAUCCAGUGACAAACAAGGUUUGAACCAGGUGUUGGACCUGGUAUUGAGAAUCCUCUGAAACUACCCAGAGUGCAACUUUGAAUGUAUUCCCCGCUUUGAGCUUUUUUAAAGAUAAGAUGUGAUCCUUAUAGUUAUCACUUUGCUGAUAAUUUAUUCCACUUGUUAUUUUAUCCAUGAGACUUUAAGGUUUCUUUUUAGUUAUAGUUACAAUUUUUUUUAAAAAACUAAAUCAUCUUUCCAUGAAACAGUGCUGGAAUAAAAUCUUAUUUUAACCUUAAAAUAAAAUCUGUACUUGAAGUAAAAUGAAGUAAUAGUGCUAGGAAUACAAGUGCAUGUAAAUUACGUAACUUGUCUUUGGAAGUGUAUGAAAGCCUGAGUGUGUGGGGUAGGCCUAUGUAGCUGUUGGGGUGCGUGCAUGCCACAGUGUGCUCUUGCAGGUCAGAGGACAACUUCAUAGAGUCGUUCUCUCCUUCUACCAUGUGGGUUCCAGAGAUUGAGCUCAGGCUGUUAGGUUCAGCAGCAGCAGGUGCGUUCACCCACUGAGCACCUCACAGACUCACAAAACAGAGACCCUCAUAUUAAUAUUUUUUAAAAGACUUUUUUUUUCCUGGUAACAUCACUGUGGUUAUUUGACUUGAUUUUAGCUUUUGGAUGCUGUUAUCUAUUUUUGGUUUUGCUUUUGUUUUUACUUAGUGAGACAGAACUUCUUCAAGCAGUCCCGGCUGUUCUAGAACUGGCUUUGUAGACCAGGCUAGCCUUAAACUCAGAAGAUCUACCUGACCCUGCCCAGUGAGUGCUGUGACUGAAGGAUCCCAAAUUUUUGACAUUCCUGAACUUAAUGAACCAUACUAGCAAGUUGUGCUUCACUCAAGAGCUAAACCGGAGCAAGAACGCCAUGCAGCUGAUACACUCCACUCUGGCUCCUCUGCUAAGUAUGAAGGAAGGCUUCGUGUGGUCCAGCUCUGCAGACGAUACUAUCAGAUACUCUCACCAAACAAGAUGGCCAUCUCUUUCCAGCUCGUUGUCCCAGACUAGUGUGGGAGUAACUGUCUGAGCUGCAUCGAGGUGCUGGGGCACUCAUGGGCCCGGCACUAAUCCCUUUGUUACUUGGACUGAUCAAAUAACUUCUGUCUCGUUUUUUUCUCCUCACCUCUGGGACUCCAGUCUUUGUACCCAGCCCCGCUUUUACUUAUCUGAACUUGUUUACCCUUCCUCUCAUUUAAACCCUGUUUGCCAACCAUUCUAAAGACUUCGUCAUGCCCUCUGGGCUACCUUCCAAGUUUCUCUUUUUGCUUGCGAUGCCCUUUUUAUGAAUUCCUUUGUUCCAUGACCUGACUCAGUGCUGGCACCUAGCUAAAGUUUUUAAAAAUGUCUUUUUGACUAGGGAGAAAAGCCACUUCAACCAUAACAAGCUUUAAUAUUUGUAACGAUGGUAUGAAGACACUGAGAAAUUUAGUAUCUAUUGGUGGAACCUGCCGUGCAUAAUAGAAAGCCGAGACUCUUGGUUUAGGGUCACAAAGGAAGGUAGGAUUCACUCUUGCUAAUACAAAGAUGACUCUUUCAAGACAGAACCGGUCUUACUGGGGUUUGAACUCGGUUAGAAAAAGCAUCUGAAGCUGCCUGUGGUUGCCAGCUGUGAUGCUCAUUCACAGUGAUUGGAAGAAAGUAUUUUAGUGGCUGUAGGUAAAGGCUGCCAUCCCCACAGAGAGCAGUUGAAGUGGAAGAAAAGAAAGGGGAGAUGGUUUGGGAUUGAUUUGCUUUGUUUGUGACAGGAUGUCUAUAGUUUUCAUUUUGCUAGCCCUGCUUCCAAAAGCUGUCCAAACGUGUCAUUAUCUAUUAAUAUUUUCACAAGUUAUUAGGCUAUACAUAAGAUUUCUCCAAACUCUUAAAUUUUCUUGGCUACUUAAUGAGGUACUAAAGAAGGUUCAACAGAAAGGUCAUGGAAAACUUCUGGAGACUUCUAAUGUAGGGGAGUAGCAGGGACAAGUUUUCUUCUUGUGCCCUGUCAACCACUCACUCAUAGGAAAUCGUCAGCAUUCUGCGAAAUUGCUUUCUAGAGCAACUGAUUCAACAGAAAGCCAGAAAUUGGAGGAAGAUGCUACAAAACCUUUAACAUAUGCGAAGUUUGUCAGAGGUUAUUGAAUUUCUUUUCUAUUUAAAAUUUACAGAGUUGAAACAUAAAAUGAAACAAUCCAUUCAUUCUUUAUGUGUCAGCUGGUUGAAAAUUAUUGAACAUUUAGUAAUAGUUACUGAAGGUGGGUGGAGUGCAGGGAAGCUGAGAGGAGAGAGAGUCAGGUAGAGCAGAGGCUCUGGAGAGGAGGAGACAGCAGUUCACACAGAACAAUCAUGAAGUCUUCCGUUUAGGGUUUCAGUUUCUGAUAAGAACAUGACUAGUUUUUUCUGAAGAUUACAUAUUCCAACUAUGAACUAAAAUUGGGUAAGUGUGAUAUUCCAUUCAGUGGAAGAGCAACGAGCCAUAAUUAGUAAUCAUUUUCUCCAGCCACAUUCUAUAUAUCCACACCGGAGCUGAGCCCGCACGGCCAGCCGCUUUGCAGAUCCUUUUCUUAUAAACUUAGUUCCUAUCUGUGGCUCUCUGUGUCCCAGGCCCUACAUCACCACAGUCUGUCCUACUUGCCAGUCACAUCGGUCCAGUAGUAUAUACAUUGUCAAAGGGCAGAGCAUCAUCAGACUUUUACAAGUAGCCUGGGAUAUGCAGUGAGCUCUAGGACAGCCUGGGUUACAGAAUGAGACAAGGAAACAAACAAGGAAAAAUUACUUAAAAUUUUAUGGUCUGUCUUCCAAAUACAGUAUACAUUUCUUGGACCCUGGAUUUUGCGUUAACAAUAUUAGGUUUCAUACCUUAUAUAAAUAUAGGUCCUCAAAAUAUUUAUCAAGGACCUCAUAUUUUAAUAGGAGUAAAAAUGCCGCUCAUCCUGACUCCAUAAAACACUGGGGCUAAGUUAAGCAAACGCGCAUGCUAAGAACUUGAAGUAGGCAUCUCUUCACCAUGUCUGCUGGACCUCGUUCUUAGACGUGUUGCUUUGACCCCUCACGUGUGCAUUUAAUACGUUUGAGCUAAGUCUCGAGUCACAGCCUGAGUGCUCUGGGGCUUUCACACGGAUGAAUAGCAGUUUACCUGUCUGCUGCUGGUGCCCACACAGACUGACCGCUUUGCCUCUCUCUUCAGUGACUCUGUGUGAGUUUCGAAAGUGAAAUCCAUAUAGUGCUCCAUGCCAGGGAGCAGGGUGUACUGAAGUGGGGGGGUCUCCCACUCUCUGGAAAUGAACUGCACUUCUGUCCAUCCUAUCUGUAAAGGGACGGAGAAAGCUGCUCAAGCGGAAGCUUGUUGCUUAUUAGGGAGGGCAAGGGGCUGGAAUAAAGAGUCCUGGGCGUUUUGGCUUGUUUUAUAUGGAAGGAGGGGAGCUCUGUCAAUUAGUUGGUCUUAAUUAGUUUUGGUUAGAGAGAAAUAAGUUUCUGACUGAAGUCCAAAGACAAAGGGGAGGAAAUGAAGAGACCUGUGUCUUCCUCCGACUGGCUGGCCACCCACUGUUUGACAGGCUGUUCACCACAGCUGGUACUUGUGAUAGCUUCCGUCCCUUCUCUACUGUUGGGUGUCUGCUUUCCGCUUCUUCCUCUCAAGUCCUUCACCAGGCCAUCUGGAACUGGGGAACAGUUCCAGGCUUCCUUGCCAGAUAUGGGUUCCUUCCACUGCCUGGAUAUGGGUUCACUCUUACCCUCAUCUCCAGGCCUAGUCACAGGUCUGAGACCGGAUCUUAACUGCCAAGAAGUGAUAUUUCAGAGAGAUAACCUUUGGAAUACAGUUCUCUUGGCCAUUCUUAGACUCAAGUGUGCAGUCUAUUUGGACUAAACAUUCAAUGUAAACAGUGAGCUGGACACCAAAACUUUGUCAAAGCCCCAAACCUUCGAUUAUCCAUGUAGUGGUUUGAAUAGGUUUGGCUU
rnacentral:sRNA from 1 species